rnacentral:lncRNA from 10 species
AAAGAAGUAGGAUAUAAGAGAGAAGGAGAGAGGGACAGCCGACGGCUUUUUAUCCCCUUGCAUCUAGGCAAUGAGGCAUUUCACCUGUGGGCUGAGAUUUUUUUAAGAAGCAGGAGCAGUUUCCCCACUAUCUCUUUCCCCAUCAUAGAGCCAACAGCUGGCAGGAUCCUAGAUCCCUGAAGAAAACGACUCACUUCUUCCUGGAGCAGGGAUUACCCAAUAUUUUCUGUAAAGGAUCAGAUUUAAAUAGUUUAAGCUUUAUGAGCCACAGGCAGUUUCCGCCACAUAUUCUUCUCUGUGGGUUUAUUUUGUUUGUUUUUGCAACUCUUUAAAACGUAAAACCCUUUCUUAGCUCAUGGUCCAUACACAAACAGGCUACAAGCUGGAUUUGGACCAUGGGCUGUAAUUUGCCAAUCCCUGCCCUAGACUCACACAGGACUGUUACAUGAGCGAAAAAGAACACCACUUUACUGUGUCAAGCAGUAGUUACCCUACUUUAUGGACACACAUACCACCUCUGCCACCACCAAGCAGCCAAACUGUCCUCAAAUUAUCUGUUGUCUCUUGUUCUGCAGAGAAAUGGGAGACGGGGGACAACUGAUACCCAGGGUUUGGUUGGGCAUGCGUGGGCAAUUGCACCUGCACAGAAGCCCAGUGAGUCCUUACUGCUCCCCCUACCCUAAUGCUAAUUAACAAACUGCAAGGGAAGCUUUUCUUGAAUUCCAAAUCAGAAACCCAAAAUCUAAACUGAAUGAUUCUAGAAAAAUGCUUGAAUCGCCAUCAGUUCUUCCUCUACUGCCUGACACCAAAUUGCAUUCUUUGAGAGACUCAAGAAAUGAAUUCAAGUUGUCAAAUAGAUUGGAUUGAUAUAUGGAGAACAACAUUCAAAGAGUUAAAAGAAUAAAAUAAUUUUUAAAUGUCUCAUUACUUCUUUCUCUAGUGUAUAUUAAUUCACACUGAUUCAUUAAAAAGAUUAAGAUAGUACUCACUUCGGCAUCAUAUAUACUAAAAUUGGAAUGACACGGAGAAGAUUAGCAUGGCCCCUGAACAAGAAUGACACACAAAUUUGUGAAGCAUUCCAUAUCUUUUUUUUUUUUUUUUUUUUUUUUUUGGUUACAGAGUCUUGCUUUGUUGCCCAGGCUGGAGUGCAGUGGUGCAAUCUCGGCUCACUGCAACCUCCGCCUCCUAGGUUCAAGUGAUUCUCCUCCCUCAGCCUCCCAAGUAGCUGGGAUUUCAGGCACGCAUCACCAUAUCCAGCUAAUUUUUGUAUUUUUAAUAGAGACACGGUUUCACCAUAUUGGCCAGGCUGGUCUCGAACUCCUGACCUCAAAUGAUCCACUCACCUCGACCUCCCACAGUGCUGGGAUUACAGGCAUGAGCCACCAUGCCCAGCCAUGUUCCAUAUUUUUAACAAGCCUGCACAUGUACCAUUGAAUAUAAAAGUUGGGAAAAAAUAAAAAGGUUGAGAGACAGAAUUUCACAACUAUCUAACUCCUGGAAAUUUUUGAACCUAUUAAUUUGUUAACUCAGUGAAGUGGUUUACUCACAGUUCUAUGCCUGCCAGUUCCUCAUUCAAGCAUUCAUCAAGGAGACCCUGAGUUCUAGGCAUGGUACCAGGCAUCAGGCCUCUAACCCAAAAUGAGUUGCAAGUCCUGCCUUUUAAG